AGUGAACGCUGGCGGCAGGCCUAACACAUGCAAGUCGAACGGCAGCACAGCAGUAGCAAUACUGUGGGUGGCGAGUGGCGGACGGGUGAGGAAUACAUGGGAAUCUACCCUGUCGUGGGGGAUAACGUAGGGAAACUUACGCUAAUACCGCAUACGACCGAGAGGUGAAAGCGGCGGACCGCAAGGCGUCGCGCGACUGGAUGAGCCCAUGUCGGAUUAGCAGUUGGCGGGGUAAAGGCCCACCAAGGCGACGAUCCGUAGCUGGUCUGAGAGGAUGAUCAGCCACACUGGAACUGAGACACGGUCCAGACUCCUACGGGAGGCAGCAGUGGGGAAUAUUGGACAAUGGGCGCAAGCCUGAUCCAGCCAUGCCGCGUGUGUGAAGAAGGCCU
rnacentral:rRNA from 1 species